AAUUAAUGUUCACCAGUAUAGAAUCACACCUGCAUACCAUUUACAACUUAUCCAUGCAUGGCUAACUCAGUGAAUCCAUUGGCUAUUAUUAUAGUGAACACUUCUCCCUGUGAUUUAAAUACCCAGUCACUAAGAAUUAGAACUCAUUGCAGAAGACAUUUACAGCAGAUAUCAUUGCUGAAGAAAUCAGAUGGGGACAGCGAACUUGGUUUUCUUUAACACCAAGCCAUUGAUAACAUCAAAGAAAAAUUUGCUAAAAUUCAUCAUUAUUGUCUCAUCACCAGGAAGAUGAAAAAAGAACCAGUCAGUAUAAAAAGUGCAGAAUUUCGCAAGUACAAUCUGAAUGAACUUUUUUCCGAAGAAGUGGAUCAGUACCUCUCACCCUCCCCAAAAAAAUACAUACAUGUAAAAAUAAUCAGGCUCCCAAGUAACUUUAUUAAAAAGAAUUAAAAAUCAAUCAAUUAAAAAUAAAAUCAACCAAUUAAAAAUCUAAUUAAUUAUAAAUAUUACAAUCUUAUUGUUU